CAAGGUCAGGAUCAAUGUUUUAUUUUCCAUGGGUCUCUAACCCAAUGAGGCAGCUUGGUGAAGGGCUGGGGACUGCUACUGGAGUCCUGGAAUUCAGAGCCACAGGGAGGGCUGUAGUUCUACUAAAGAUCAGUACUCCAGUGUUAGCAAUCUCUUUAUUGGAUGUGAAGGCAGGAAGCCCAGCUCAACUGAGACUGCUGACUCAGGAAUGGCAACAGAAAGAGUCCUUAAACCCCCAGCCUGUACUCCACCAAGAGGAGCUGCUUGCUCAAAGAGCUGCACUGAUUGUCCAUUGCCGUUGCACAAGAAAAAUUGGAAGCUCUACCACCAACUCCAGGACAGCUGAGAUAUGUAUUCUUCCACAAUGUGAUACCUUUUGUAGGGUUUAGCUUUUUGGAUAAUGCAAUUAUGAUUGUUUCAGGAACUCA
rnacentral:sRNA from 1 species